rnacentral:rRNA from 1 species
CGCCUUGCCAGCCCGCUCAGAACUCAAAGGAAUUGAGGGGGCCCCGCACAAGCGGAGGAACAUGUGGUUUAAUUCGAUGAUACGCGAGGAACCUUACCUGGGCUAGAACGCAAUCGGAAUCAGGCCGAAAGGUCUGCGCCAGCGAUGGCCGCUUGCGAGGUGCUGCAUGGUUGUCGUCAGCUCGUGCCGUGAGGUGUCGGGUUAAGUCCCAUAACGAGCGCAACCCCUACUGCUAGUUGCCAGCGGGUCAUGCCGGGGACUCUAGCGGAACUGCCAGCGUAAGCUGCGAGGAAGGUGGGGAUGACGUCAAAUCAGCACGGCCCUUACGUCCAGGGCUACACACGUGUUACAAUGGCCAGUACAGAGGGCAGCCACCCCGCGAGGGGGCGCUAAUCCUAAAAGCUGGUCCCAGUUCGGAUCGGAGUCUGCAACCCGACUCCGUGAAGCUGGAUUCGCUAGUAAUCGCGCAUCAGCCACGGCGCGGUGAAUACGUUCCCGGGCCUU